UGACUGAACAAUACUAUAGAGUAGACUACAAUACUGUGUUACUGUACUACUUUAUAGAUGCUUACAGGGCCAAUCAGCAGUUUAAAUAUUAACAAAGCAUCCUCCCCGCCAUUGUUUCGGCAAAAAGCUGAGUGAUGGGGCUGGAGAAAUGUAACCACUAUAAAGUUCAUAGACAGAGCUAUGGAUACAGGUACUGACCAUCCAUGAUAUCAACAUUAUAGUUCUGCAGCCAUGUUUUGAGGCUUUAGUGUUAAUUUACAUUUACUUUGUUUACAAACAUUGGAGUAAAAUAAGCUUAUAUUUUGGGUUCUGAUGAUUCUUCAAGAAUCAAUGGGUAACAUAUCAUUAAGUUCAUUAAGUCCAAAAAUUGAUGUAGCAAUUGCUGAUUGAUCCUUUUAAGUCUCUGUCCAAAAUGUAAUGAUGAGAGAGGGUUCCUGUGUGUUAGAAAGACUGUCCUCUGUGUGUAGACACCCAACUUCAAACCUACAACACAGUGUCUUGUCUCACGUCUUGUCUUGGUGCCCUGCUAAUAUCAAGAUCCAUCACAUACUUCUGAGCUCUUAUUGAUUUCUGACUCCAGUUGAGAACCAGUUGAAUGAAUGGAUAUGUGAAUGAUCUGGAAGUUGUAUUUUAUGGACAGUGUAACAAGCUAGAGAGAGAGAUCAACUAUUGACAUGGAUAUCCAUUUAAUAUUAACUCUGAGAGGUGCAUUGGAUCAAAAAUGUGCCCUCCUUAUAAGCAAAUGAGAGUUGAGUGCAUAAUACUGUUGUUUUCAUUUAUAAACAACAACACAGAACUCCUGAUUUAGACUUAUUGCUGGAGGGUAAGUAGCUCCUCAGCUGACUGCUGGUUUUAACACAACACUCUUAUCUAGGGAUCAACUUAGGCUCUACUCAGCCCUACUCAGAUCCUUUCACAAUGCAUCUAUCCAUCCGUCUCUCCAGGAUUCUGCGAUGGCAAUUUUGUUUGCAAAAUCAACAAUUCCCUGCAUGUUAUGUGAGGGCUUGCAAAUUUGACCAUUCACUCUACUAUUUUUUGCAUAAAAAUGUCAAAUCGUUGAAAUGUUAUCGCAUAAAACUGACCCAUUGCUGCAGUACAAAAAGAGGGGCUGCAAUUUCAACCCAUCACCGCACAAAUAAUAUGGUUCAAUAAAGCGACACAUCAACAAACAUUUUCCAUUGUCAGUGCAUUUUUGUGACAAAUUGGACAAAAUCAUCACACAUAAUCCUGGAGAGGCUGAUCCUUCCUUCCUUGAAGUAACCACUGAUCUAACAGUAUAAGAUCAAGGCUAGGUGACAGCUAUCAUAGAUUUGACCAGUCCAGUUAUGUCAUUCACUGAUAUUAAGGAGGAUAAUGACAUGAAUGACAAAGGUUGGGUUCUCAUGGUAACUGAUUGAUUAACUGCUAUAUACAGUGCUUUCGGAAGACAUUCAGACCCCUUGACAUUUUUCCAUAUUUUUGCUAAUUUAUUAAAAAAAAAAUCAAAUUUACCUAAGUAUUCAGACCCUCUACUCAGUACUUUGUUGAAGCAUCUUUGGCAGCGGCUACAGCCUCGAGUCUUCAUGGGUAUGACGCUACAAGCUUGGCAUACCUGUAUUUGAGGGGUUUCUCCCAUUCUUCUCUGCAGAUCCUCUCAAACUCUGUCAGGUUGGAUGGGGAGCGUUGCUGCACAGAUAUUUUCAGGUCUCCAGAGAUGUUAGAGCAGGUUCAAGUCUGGGCUCUAGCUGAGCCGCUCAAGGACAUUCAGAUACUUGCCCUGAAGCCACUCCUGCAUUGUCUUGGCUUUGUGCACUCCUGCGUUGUCUUGGCUUUGAGACUUGUGCAUGAAGCUGCUCCCCAAUUCACCACAAGGGCAGUGAGCUGUAAGCGAGAGUAUGCAAGCAACUGGUAAGCAAGCAUGUAACUUACCUCUACCAUGGCACUACUGCACUAGACUCGUCACAUGCACCCUGCAGUUGCCCGCCGAUAUAUACACACAGACACACACACACACAGACAGCGGGAUGAAUGAGUGACCUGUUCCCAGGCUGAUCAGAAUUGUCAACCUAUUCAGUCUGUAUUUAUUCAGCUUCAUCCAUUCUCUACCACUGUAAAUAUUAACUUCCACUGUAAUGUUGGCCAUGUUCCAGACCUGGGGAGUGUACUUUCCAUAACUGAAGAUUCCAUGGCUUUGAUCAUAAACAACCAUAGGAUUAUUAAAUGCGCCCUGGCUCAGACACAAUCUGAUUAGAAUGUCAAAUGAGACACACACACACACACACCAGCCAGGCAGUGGAGAAUGGUUUGCAGUCAGGAGUCAUGAGGAAGGACAAUUGGAUUCCACGUUCUUGUGACUGGAUUGAAUACUAUCUAGUGCUCUUCAAAUGAACAGAUUGCCUUUAGUCUGGAAUGAAGACACCCCCCACACUUUCUCUUACUUAUUCAUUUUUUUCACUCAGUCUCCCUCCCUCUCUCUGUAUGUCUGUCCCUUUCUGUAUGUCUCUGUAUAUGUGUAUAUUAAUAUCAGCCAUUGCAUGCGGCUCUGACAUACUCUACAACUCCUCUUGUAUUGAAGACUCCCAAAUCAGGUUUACACUCCUCCGUUACACAGUGUGUCUCUCUCACUGAAGUGGAAGAGGUGUCGGCUGCUUGCCUGAGGCUGUUUCGGCAGGCAAAAUAUACACACGCAUUGUCAGUCUCCAGUGCUCAGUGAUCACCAGUCAGGUUAGAACAUGCAGGUGGCUUUACUUCCUUGUCAGUGUUAACAGACAUGUUAUCAUGUUACAGCAAGACAGAGGAAGGUGUGUGUAUGUGAGGUCACAGGAUUACGCUUAAGCUCAUAGCACCUCGAGCAGUGUGUGUGUUGUGUGUCCGUCCCCUGAGGGAAGCAGAGAAAACAGGAAGACCGAGAAAGAAAACCCAGGAAAAGAGAGCUAGAAACUCAGAGGGACGUUCUGCCUCUUCUGAGCCAGAUGGGGCUGACGAUGCUUUAAACCCCUGCUCUGUUUUUCUGUCAGUCUGUCUGCAGUCUCUGCUGCUGCUCUGCAGCCAUUCAGCUGAUUUGGUGGGAAAUGACCCGUAUAGGUCUCGCUUUUAUUCCCUCCCUCUGGUGGUGUGUGGUUGUAUGUGUGGUCUGUGGUAAAUCCGAAGCUCGAGCCAGUGUAUCGGUUGAGUAGUCAAAUAGCACAGAUCCUUGUCGAUCUGCAGCAUGGGCAUUUCCUCUCUAGUUCAUUCUCUCUCUGUGUCUGGAUUUAGACUGUCAGCUGAAUGCUAUUAAAAUGUGACUGCUCAAAGCAUAAACACAACUGAACAGAAGGGGGACGUGUGUGUGGGUCAACCAGUUUGUGAAAGAGAAUAGAGCCUGCUGUCCUGGCUACGCACAAACAGGUCGUCCACCAGACAGUGGGACUGAUGUUUAAAGAAGGUGCGUGUUCUAUUGCCACUCUGGCUUUUCAUAGCAGUACUAGAAAAUUGGCUUGGGAGAUAUACUGUAUUUCAAAAUAAUAUUUUCUUUGCGGGGUUUGGUGGGUGCGAUGCCAUUUGCUUAAAUUUUAAUUUAAGUAUAACUAAGAAAUCGAAGAUGUGCCAAAUAAAUUAAAACCAGGUCAGGGCUCCAGGUAUGCAUUUGGUUGGUAACUUGCUGGUGAAGUGGCUAGAUGUCAAGAUUAAGCUUCUUGGUUACUGCAGAGACAUUCAAUCCCCUCCUGGAUCCAGAUUCGUGUUGCCUAAAUGUAUUUGUUUGCCCAUUCGAUAAUACCGUAUACCCUGGUAUGGUACAGAAACGGUAUGAAAAUCUGGGUUCUGCCCAACCCUACAAGAAAAGCAAACAUGAAAAUAGUAUGCAGCAUUGUCCAUAGGCCUUCUGUAUGCAUGGGUAUUUUUGAAACUGGGCCUAUUUUUCAUUGGGUGGUCUGAGAAUUAAUACGGUUCAUUUGUUUAUUCCCAGCACAUUAAUAAAAGUUUGAGUGACCCCGCUUAUGAUUACAGCUAAGCACACUCUUUAGGGAUUUAGGGAUCAAUUCCUCAGUUCAAAAGGCUGGAGAUCAGCAAUAACCCUGCCUGAUUUGUGUAACAGAAUAAUAUAGGCCUUUGGCCUCACCACUCAGAAUGACACUAGUAUCCAUAAUUAGCUCCAGAUUUAGCUCCAGCUCUCCUCCCCUUAGGGGCUAGGAGACAGACGAAACAGGAGGGAGCGUCUGUUGAUUGAUGCUCUCUCUCAGCCAAGGCCAUCGGCAGUGAUACUAUGAGCAAAGCUGGCAAAUCAGAGGUCAAGAAGCAUUUGCAGAUGUCAAUGUCAGUAAAUUCAGCAUUCUUCUCUUUGCCCACCUCAAACCCUCCAGACCAUUUAGGGUGUUAUUGCAGAGGGAAGCUCUUUGAUUGGUUUAACAUGUCCAAGGAAUGGCUGAAUCUGGGUUGUUCAGUAAUAUUGUAGGGAGAGGAAGAGCAGGGGCAAUCAGAGUUGAUUUGAAGGGGUUUUCUGAAGUGUGAGAGUGGAGGGGUGGGUAGGAUGGAAGGAAAAGAGACAGGCUAUAGGGGGAGAUGUUAGAAAGUGUUAGUUGAAAUCGGAAGUAGGUCUCUUCCUCUGGUCUGGCGCUUGUAACUUCCUGUGGGCUGAUAUCACAGGAGAAUAUAUGUUUUUUGUUCUGUGGUGACUGAUGUCAUGACCCUUUCCAUCCUGUCCUGUCUUUCUCUCUCCUGUCCAAUCCUUCUCUCUCCCAUUUAGCUAGGUCAGUCUCUCCCAUUCUAGUCUCCUCCUUCCCCCUGUGACCCGACCCAUCUACCCUUUCAGGAUUUGUCAGUGUUUGCACCAAAACACAGAAGCAUACAGAAAUAAGGGAAGUCAUGUUUAUCUAUGUAGAUAUGUGGUGGGCUGAAUGUUUUGAUUGGUUUCCCAGGAUCUGAGUGGUUUGGUCUCCCUCCACAUUGGUUCUAAAUCUCAGAGAGGCUUUACAGGCUGCUUUGAGAAGAGCUGCUCUUCCCUCAACGGUGGGGAACACGUACGCAAGCUGGAGUGGUGGCGGGGGUUGGUGAGAACAGAGGGGUAGUCUGCAGGGAAUCAUAUGGUACAUCAGCAUCCUCUCUGAACGCAGUUUAGGCUGCUGAAAAUUCGACACUGCAAGUGGAUGCGAUAACCACUACGGUCAAGAUUGAAAAGAUGAAUCGAUUCUAUUUGAUGUCUUCAGAACAGGAUUCCAGUGUUGAAGAGCCUUAGUUCCCAUCUGCUGUGGGUAGAGGAGCUAGAGGAAGGGGGAGAAGAGCAAGGUGUAGAGCUGCAGAAAGAACCCGGAAGUCCGUGAGGGCUGAAAGACAGGAGAGGGUGACCCAGAUAAAGGCUAGGUUGAGAAAGCUGUCCUUUGAGGAAAGGUGCUGGAGCAGUUCGCUACCUGUUCACUUGGCAUGAUGUUUGACAUAAUGGAUUUGUAGAUGGCUAUCCCAGGAUCUCCAGACAUCCCAGACUGAGGACAACCUCGCUGGUGCACCUACCUGAAAUUGACGGGAGAUGCCCGUUGACCUGGGGCCGGUUGCACCAGUUGGUCAUAAGAGGUUCAUAACUCUACGUCCAACGUAAAAUUCACUCUAAACUGGACUUAAAAAUUAUACGUGUUGCCCCACUUGGGUGUAAGCCCUUCUAAACUGAGCAAAAAAAGAAAUGUCCCUUUUUCAGGAUGCAGUCUUUCAAAGAUAAUUUGUGAAAAUUCCAAUAACUUCAGAUCUUCAUUGUCAAGGGUUUGAACACUGUUUCCCAUGCAUGUUCAAUGAACCAUAAACAAUUAAUGAGCAUGCACCUGUGGAAUGGUCGUUAAGACACUAACAGCUUACAGACAUUAGGCAAUUAAAGUCACAGUUAUGAAAACUUAGGACACUAAAGAGGCCUUUCUACUGACUCUGAAAAACACCAAAAGAAAGAUGCCCAGGGUCCCUGCUCAUCUGCGUGAACGUGCUUUAGGCAUGCUACAAGGAGGCAUGAGGAUUGCAGAUAUGGCCAGGGCAAUAAAUUGCAAUGUCCGUACUGUGAGACGGCUAAGAGUGCUACAGGGAGACAGGACGGAAAGCUGAUCGUCCUCGCAGUGGCAGACCUACGUGUUACAACACCUGCACAGGAUCGGUACAUCCGAACAUCACACCUGCGGGACAGGUACAGGAUGGCAACAACAACUGGCAACACAGCAUCAUCGGACUGAGCUUGUUGUUAUUGCAAGCAAUCUCAACGCUGUGCGUUAUAGGGAAGACAUCCUCCUCCCUCAUGUGGUACCCUUCCUACAGGCUCAUCCUGACAUGACCCUCCAGCAUGACAAUGCCACCAGCCAUACUGCUUGUUCUGUGUGUGAUGUCAGUGUUCUGCCAUGGCCAGCGAAGAGCCCGGAUCUCAAUUCCAUUGAGCAUGUCUGGGACCUGUUGGAAUGGAGGGUGAGGGCUAGGGCAGAGGAGGAGAUGCUGGCCACACCAGAUACUGACUUACUUUGAUUUUUCCCCCCCUUUGUUCAGGGACACAUUAUUCAAUUUCUGUUCGUCACAUGUCUGUGGAACUUGUUCAGUUUAUGUCUCAGUUGUUGAAUCUUAUGUUCAUACAAAUAUUUACACAUGUUAAGUUUGCUGAAAAUAAACGUAGUUGACAGUAAGAGGACGUUUCUUUUUUUGCUAAGUUUAUGUACUAUGCCUGGGCUUGGAUUCUACGCCUAGUAGGGAGCAGGCGUAGGCCCCAAUUUAACACACAUCUUCAUCAUGAUUGCUAUAAUUUUCUAUGCACAUCUUGUGUGUCCAUAAUUCACAACCUCCGCAGGCUUUUGGAGUUGCCUAGAUGCGAAAAUCAAUAUUUAUUAUAAUGGUUGGAGGACUUUGGGAGUUUCAGUAAGCAACAAUUUGAUACAUGCCUUGCAUUAGCCUAUUAUUGCAAUAUUUUCUUUAUAUGGAUCGUGCAUGUAUAGUGGUGGGCUAUGCAAACUGACAUGCCUCGCAAGCAGCGCAUAAAAUUGACAUUUUGGCCCACCAGCCAAUGUGGCAUGUAGAUAAAAUAAAUCUACCAACCAACUUAGAUUUUUUACCAGCCCAAAUAUUUUUUUGCCAAAAUUACUGAGGGAAAAAAUGCCUUGUAAUGUUUCAAAACAAGAAAUCUAUUAGUAAGAAGUAAUGUGGUAUAUUACUCAAUACUCAAUAUAUUACUCAAUACUUCAUAUGAACCUAAGUUCCGUCAAUAUCGGGAAACCGGGCCCAGGGCAAUGGUAGUUCAGUACUUUGCCAUAUCAGUAUUUCAUCUGAAUGUUAUUUUGUUUUAUCUUAUUUGUCUUGUGGUAUUUUUGCACAACUGCUAUUGUUAAUUUUUUUACUUGCACUGUGGUCUUUGUUAGUUUGAGAAGGUUACAGAGUAUCUUGUGUUCUUAUAAAAUAUCUGUAAUAAACCUUUAUUUGACAUGA